AGGAAUAUAGAUCAGUGGUAGAGCAUUUGCCUAAUAUGCAUGAGACUCUGAGUUCAAUCUCAGCAUUUCCA
rnacentral:tRNA from 1 species